rnacentral:lncRNA from 1 species
GUCUUCUUCUUUCCCAAGCAAUGUCUCUUGGUGUCUCCAACAUAGAUAGUUGUUUCGAUAAACGUUUUUUCGGUUUCUGUGAGGCCACCGGAGUUGUUGCUGCCGUUUUGGCCUCGCCGAGGGGCGGUGUUAAGACUGAUAACGUGAGGUUGUCUCUUCUUCUCACCAUUUUUUAUAUUUAUACCACUUGAUGUUUUAUGAAGAUGUGGCUUGUGAAUGCAACUUAGGGUUCUUCUUUCUUGGUUUUAUUACUAUCAAAGCUUUAAUAAGCUUAUGAAUGAUGUUGUGUGUUUUUAAUAUAUGUUCUUUGUGAGAUGGCCGCGUGCGAACAUGUAGCGCGGCCAACAAAGAGGUUAAAGUGGGUCGGGUUGAUCAGAUAUGUCUUUGUUUUUUUAUGCCCUUUUCUUGUUAGGUUUUGCCCAACCCGACCAAAUAAACUUUGAGGAGACUCGAGGUGCUUUAAUGGAGGAUGUCAAGUUAGUUUCCACCAUUGAAUUCUAUGUAAGCUAUUUUUCUCUAUUGUUUAAAUUUGAUGAUUGACUCAACCAUAUCUUUAGGAACUUCUUUGUUUAGAUUUAUUUGACCAUUCCAAGAAAAGAGUCCUAGUCUAUUUCGAUCAAGGCAAGUUUCGAAACAAUAUGGUUUAUGAGUUUCUAUAUUUAGAUAAAACGAAUUCUUGUUGUAAUAGCUUGUGCCAAAAGAAAAGAAAACAGGUCUUUUUAACUUCACUAACAAUAUGUUCAACAUGGUUUUAGUAAUCCUCUCAUCCAAGUAUUCUCUAACUAUGUACGCUUCUCUUUCAGACAGAAAAACUGAGAAUGAGAAACACACCAACACACUACUACACUAGUAACCUCAAUGCAUAGAAGACAAAGUGAGAAAAUAGAAAACGAAGAAGAGUGUUGGACCACACGAUAUAUGUCUAGCAUGGUCUUUGUUUCUUGUUGAUCUAAGGCAAGUCACGUGUUCUGAAUUUCAUGGUCAGGUCAGCUAUAUGGAAACUCUACCUCAUCAGGAACUAGAUCAAUAUAUAAUGGAAGAGAAACUAUGGUCGGUCAGACGCGUUAGCGAAAGAAACAAGAUCCAAAUGCUAUAUUUUCUUCCAUAUAGAUCAGACGCGUACAGACGGAGGUGUUCCAUGAAAAAUCGGCUCGUCUGACCAACACUUGAUCUAUCUUAAAUGGCCAGCUGACAAAAAAAAAGGAAGUCACUUAUCCAAUCAUACAAGCAGGUCUAUGCCAGGAGAUUCUCCUUGCACGAAAUCAAACAUGGAACUCAAAAGUUUGACGAUUCCAACAUCACUCGAGUUAUACGACACUUUUUAACAUUUACAC